rnacentral:rRNA from 1 species
CCUACGGGGGGCUGCAGUAGGGAAUUUUCGUCAAUGGGCGCAAGCCUGAACGAGCAAUGCCGCGUGAACGAGGAAGGUCUUCGGAUCGUAAAGUUCUGUUGAAGGGGAAAAAGAGCGGAGAGAGGAAAUGCUUUCUGAUUGAUAUUACCCUUCGAGGAAGUCACGGCUAACUACGUGCCAGCAGCCGCGGUAAUCCGUAGGUGGCGAGCUGUAUCCGGACUGGUUGGGCGUAAAGGGUGCGUAGGCGGCCUGCUAAGUCUGGAGUGAAAGGUACCGGGUCAACCGGUACAGGCUCGGGGAACUGGCGGGCUAGAGGGCAGGGGAGGGCAGUGGAACUCCAUGUGUAGCGGGAAAAUGCGUAG